UUAAAUAUAUUUUAUACCAAGUAAGCAAUUCAAUAAACAAACCCUUGCGUACUCCGUACCAUAUACCAUGAAAAAUGACGUUUUUCAUUCCCGAUUCAUUCCACGAACCACAUUUAACUAUGAUUUAGGUUACAUUGAUAUCAACUAAUACAACUUUUCUUAGAUAAAACCUCAUUCAGUCGUAAGUCCAUAGUCACUAGAUACUCUCAUACAUCUAGCGAACCGCGUAUUGGUACUUGUGUACCCAAACAGAGUACUUUUACGUACUAAUACUCUAAAUUUAAAAUACCAAAAAAUUUCUUUGUUGUUUAACUAUAAUUGCACAAAUAUCAAUAUUAUAACUUAGUAUUGGAUGUUCAAAU
rnacentral:lncRNA from 1 species